rnacentral:lncRNA from 12 species
ACUCAUCAGCAGAAAAGUGCAGAAUAAAUAGACGCACUUGAAUAGAGAUUACAGAAACUCUGAAAUAAAGCAAACACCAGCUACAGAGCAACUUCUGCCUCAAGAAACCCCUCCUUUCAGAUGUUUGCAAUUGUGAUAGCAGAACACUAUCACCGGCAGAUGUAAGUUGCAUGUUUUCGCAUCCUACACAAACACCUAUGAAGUGAGGAAUUCGAAGGAAGGAGUGAAGAAGCGAAUGAGAGAAAGAAGGAUGGAAGAGAUUUAGAGAAUAUUAAAAUUGUGUUUUAAAGAAAUUUCCCAGAAUCUUUUUAUUAGCAUUAUUUCCCAGUCUCCCCUCCAUAUCUAUCAAUAAAGGUGAUAAAUAAACAAUCCA